AACUCUGUUUUUAUAAGAACUUUAUAACACUGUGAAUCUGAACCAACAGCAACCAUGAGCUUCAUCACCAUCUUCAUCUGGAUAUUAACUAUCUACUGUUUCACAGAAUCAAGAGGUGAAGUGACAGUCACUCAGACGCCUGCAGUGAAAUCUGUUCGUCCAGGAGACUCAGUUACUGUAUCCUGUAAAACCAGUCCUGACGUCUAUCAGAGUUGGGGUUAUCAGCCUCUAGCCUGGUACUUACAGAAACCUGGAGAAGCUCCUAAACUCCUGAUUUAUAAAGCAAACCUCCUCCAGUCAGGAACUCCAUCUAGAUUCAGUGGCAGUGGAUCUAACAGUGAUUUCACUCUGACCAUCAGUGGAGUCCAGACUGAAGAUGCUGGACAUUAUUACUGUCAGAGUGUACACUGUCCUAGUAGCUGUGUGUUCACACAGUAAUAAAGAGUCGUACAAAAACCUCCGUCAGUCAGAGUCACAGUGACUGAACUGAUACUGCAGCUGCUCACACACUUUCACACACACUCAACAGUGAAGAUUUUCAUAAAUAUUAAAUUAUAUAUAAAGCAUUCAAGUUUUUUCACAUGGUAAAUACUUAAACUAUAAAACUCUUUAUCUUA